rnacentral:rRNA from 1 species
AUUGAACGCUGGCGGCAGGCCUAACACCUGCAAGUAGAGCGGAGCGGCGGACGGGGGAGAAAUGCCUCGGAAUCUGCAUGGUAGUGGGGGAGAACGACAGGAAACGGGCGCUAAUAGCGCAUACGAUAAGGUAAGACAUGGUCGGAGUAGCUAGUUGGGGGGGUAAAGGCCUACAAAGGCGCAGAUCCGUAACUGGUCUGAGAGGAUGAUCAGUCACACUGGAACUGAGACACGGUCCAGACUCCUACGGGAGGCAGCAGUGGGGAAUAUUGGACAAUGGGCGAAAGCCUGAUCCAGCCAUGCCGCGUGUGUGAAGAAGGUCUUCGGAUUGUAAAGCACUUUAAGUUGGGAGGCGUUACCAACAGAAUAAGCACCGGCUAACUUCGUGCCAGCAGCCGCGGUAAUU